AGGGUUUGAUCAUGGCUCAGGACGAACGCUAGCGGCAGGCUUAACACAUGCAAGUCGAACGGUAACAUGAGAGCUUGCUCUUGAUGACGAGUGGCGCACGGGUGCGUAACACGUAUGCAACCUACCUUUAACAGGGGGAUAGCCCGGAGAAAUCCGGAUUAAUACCCCAUAGUAUCAUAGUUUCACAUGUUAUUAUGAUUAAAGCUUCGGCGGUUAAAGAUGGGCAUGCGUAACAUUAGUUUGUUGGUGAGGUAAUGGCUCACCAAGACUACGAUGUUUAGGGGGUCUGAGAGGAUGAUCCCCCACACUGGUACUGAGAUACGGACCAGACUCCUACGGGAGGCAGCAGUGAGGAAUAUUGGACAAUGGACGAAAGUCUGAUCCAGCCAUGCCGCGUGCAGGAAGAAGGCCUUCUGGGUUGUAAACUGCUUUUAUAUAGGAAGAAAAAGUUCCUGCGGGAAAAACUGACGGUACUAUAUGAAUAAGCACCGGCUAACUCCGUGCCAGCAGCCGCGGUAAUACGGAGGGUGCAAGCGUUGUCCGGAUUCACUGGGUUUAAAGGGUGCGUAGGCGGAUUAAUAAGUCAGUGGUGAAAUCCUACAGCUCAACUGUAGAACUGCCAUUGAUACUGUUAAUCUUGAGUCCAGUCGAGGUGGAUGGAAUUUAUGAUGUAGCGGUGAAAUGCAUAGAUAUCAUAAAGAACACCAAUUGCGUAGGCAGUUCACUAGACUGGUACUGACGCUCAGGCACGAAAGCGUGGGGAGCGAACAGGAUUAGAUACCCUGGUAGUCCACGCUGUAAACGAUGAAUACUCGCUGUUGGCGAUAUACUGUCAGCGGCCAAGCGAAAGCGUUAAGUAUUCCACCUGGGGAGUACGCUCGCAAGAGUGAAAC
rnacentral:rRNA from 1 species